rnacentral:rRNA from 1 species
ACGAACGCUGGCGGCAUGCCUAACACAUGCAAGUCGAACGAGACCUUCGGGUCUAGUGGCGCACGGGUGCGUAACGCGUGGGAAUCUGCCCUUGGGUACGGAAUAACAGCGAGAAAUUGCUGCUAAUACCGUAUAAUGACGUAAGUCCAAAGAUUUAUCGCCCAGGGAUGAGCCCGCGUAGGAUUAGCUUGUUGGUGAGGUAAAAGCUCACCAAGGCGACGAUCCUUAGCGGUCUGAGAGGAUGAUCAGCCACACUGGGACUGAGACACGGCCCAGACUCCUACGGGAGGCAGCAGUGGGGAAUAUUGGGACAAUGGGCGAAAGCCUGAUCCAGCAAUGCCGCGUGAGUGAUGAAGGCC